CUUCAAAUGGUGCCAGACGUGGUGGUAUGAGCCUGUAAUUCCAGCUACUCAGGAAGCUGAGGUGGGAGGAUCACUCUGGCCUAGGAGUUUGAGAUCAGCCUGGGUGACAGAGCAAGACCCUGUCUCUAGAAAAGAGAAAGAAUAAAUGGCUGAUGGAGAUGACUCUACUGCAAAAAUGACAACCAGCAAGAAAGCGGGUGGUGCCCGUUUCCUCCCUGGGGACCCUCAGAGGGCCAGGCCAUUCUCUUCCUUGGUGUGACUGCGGAUCCAGGGCCCAGCUGAAGAGCAUCAGAUCUGUGGGCAUGGUAUGUUUGCUGAAGGACAGUGGCAGAGUUCCAGGCCAGGCAGGGCCGGCCC
rnacentral:lncRNA from 1 species